AGAUGUGAAGGUAAUCUGACUGCAACAUCUAUCACUUCACUGAUUGCCAGAGUUGAUUAGGUUGAUCUGGCUGGUUAGGUGGGUGUCCCCUUCCCCCCUCACCACCCCAUCUGCAUCCUUCCUGAAAAUGCUCCCUCAAUGGAAGAGGAAAACAUUCCUUGAUAGAGACAUACUGGGUCAAGGAUAGAUGAAUAGCUGUGCUCUUCUGCUAGAAAAAGCUCCUAAGUUUCAAAUACAUGCACCUUUCAACAUUCAUCUUUGCAAAAUCUUGU
rnacentral:snRNA from 1 species